rnacentral:rRNA from 1 species
CAGCAGCCACGGUAAUACGGAGGGCGCGAGCGUUACCCGGAUUUACUGGGCGUAAAGGGCGUGUAGGCGGCCUGGGGCGUCCCAUGUGAAAGGCCACGGCUCAACCGUGGAGGAGCGUGGGAUACGCUCAGGCUAGAGGGUGGGAGAGGGUGGCGGAAUUCCCGGAGUAGCGGUGAAAUGCGCAGAUACCGGGAGGAACGCCGAUGGCGAAGGCAGCCACCUGGUCCACUUCUGACGCUGAGGCGCGAAAGCGUGGGGAGCAAACCGGAUUAGAUACCCCAGUAGUCCCUGUCUCUUAUAC